CAAUGCCCUACUGUCUAUCUCUUUCCCAUUAGGGUUAUAUUUAAUGAAAAACAAAAUCAUAGGGAUGCAUUAAUUCAUUUUAGCUCUAAAUUUCAUUAAUUGCUGAAUCCUUUGGCUGAAAAUGUCAUAUUGAAUUUAAGAGAGCUUGUUUGAUUGUUUUUAGCCCUUUGUUUGAUACUUUGUGUCAGUUUCUUGAAAAUACACAUUAAUUUUACAAGUGACAAUAUAAAGAGUAUUCUUUUUAUAAUAAAAUAAGUGCGUCUACAGAGUGGGUUUAGCAAGAAACUAUAUUUUACAAAUUUACAUCAUAGCCCCAACUUAACAUUUCUCUAUAUCUCGUUAUUUGAUUUGGCCUUGAACAAUUUCUGCCUUGCUACAUGAAAAACAAUUGCCUGUCAUCUAACUUUCAUUUUAAGGUUUCCUCACACAAUCCAUGUGUGUAGCAGUGCAUGUGGAACUUCACUAUCCUUUAUAACGACUUUAAUGUAACCACCCUCCCCUCAUCUCCCCAUCCCCAGUAGCUGCAGUGUAUUUAAAACACAUCGAGGUCCUUUUGCCAAAAUACAGCUCAAUUUUAAAUGUAGCAUAGAAACUAAGGAAAUCCUGAGCAAAAAUGAUGCCAUGAAAACCUGGCACUGCUCAUUUGUUUCCUGUUUGGCUAAAUUUUACUUGGCAAGGUGGUAUUAUUGACUCAGAGUGCAGCCAACAUUAAAAUCAUUUUGCAAAAGCAACCUAAACUGUUUCAUUAUGUUUAGUUAAAAUACAGCGAUUCAACCCUGCAUUUUAGAGAAGAUGCCUAUAGCUGGAGAAAAUUUUUAUCUCUCCCUCCCCCUCCUCCCAACUCCGUUUUGACAAAUUUGGACGCGGUUUUGGCAAAGCUAUGGCGGUGUUUGGGGCGUUAAGGUGGUAUUAAGUGGUUUUCUCCCUCCCCUUUCCUCUGGGAUAGCGUUUGAUGAAGCAAAUGGACAGAGCUAGAUGAGAGCUAUUUCCUGCAGUUUCCUGAGGAUCCCUAGCACUAGCUUGAGUUUUUUCUUCAAGACUUCUUUUCCUGCUCGUGGACUUCUCCGGCCUUCUGGAGCAAGGGAGACUGCAAGGAGGAGGAGGGGAUAGGGACGGCUUUCGGGACUCCGCAGGAGAGGCAAGGUCAUGGAACUUGUGGGUGCAGUCAGGCCAUGUUGCCCUCUGUGACUGGCAGAUACCUAGGCUGUCUUGGGUUGCAGGAGCGCUCCCUGCACUCUUGGAGUCCAAAGAAGGGUACAGUUUAGGCGGGUAAAAUGGGGAGGAGUCUCUAGGAAGCCCAGAGACCGUCUGCAGCUAACUAGGAAUAGGGGACACAGGGGAAGCCGUGGCGGAGCAGUGCUUCUCCCGCUUGUUUCCCGAAGAACUUCACCUGAACCUGAAAUUCUAUAGGUCUGAGCCCGUUCUAUGGAGAUUCCUAGUCUCACAGCGCACCCUAGUGGACCAUCAGCGCCCUCUCGCCUCCUGUCUUCACCCUCCUCCCCCCACAGCCUGCGACUUUCUUCAAUCUCCUCUGGCUUAUUACAAUCUGCAAUAUAUUACUUUCUCCCAAAGUAUUGACAACGUGCGAGAGAUUCGAGUAACCCUGGACCGCUUUCCUGUAAUCAGCAUAUUUAUUCACAUUUAUAUGGAAGAAAAAAAAAUCUGGAUUAAAUCCCCGUGACCCAUAUUCAGUUCCAGUGUCAUUCUUCCUGGAUCCUCUUUAAACCCACUCCACACUGCUUCUCUGUCUAUUACAUGCUAAUUUAAUUUUACUAUGGACGAUAUUUUCAGCAUUUGCUGAGGACAGUAAAUUUUGUAGUUUAUGUUAUUUCACUUUUUAUGACUUUUUAACACUUAAUAAAAUUUUAUUAGAGCACUUUUGUGUUUACAAGGCCACAAAACUCUUGGCAGGUUGUCAGAAGUCCUUUUUAUUAUGAUCCUACUGAUAUACUGCGAGUAAUGAAAUAAUCAUGUCCAGAAAUGUAUCAAAGGCCAGAGGGAUUAUCCAACUUAAUAGCUCUACAGAUGCGCUCACAAGGAUAUGGACAUGCAGCUCUGUCUGGGAGAGAGGAGGAGGCUGACCUAAGAUUUUUUUUUUUUUUUUUUUUUUUUUUACCAUUUCUGUUGCUUUCCUAAAAGGCUACAUGCAAGGUCAUGUGACUUUCUGCUGUCUCAAUAAAAAAAUUUAUUCUUUUGCAAAA